UAGAAGGCCAAGAGACUGAAGUCCUCCAUUCUUUUCACAGAACAGGUAGAACAUGGACAACAGCAAUUCAACUUUUCCCCACACUGUCCUGCCAAUGUGCUUCAAUCCUGACCUGGGGGGGCCAGCGCUGGGGCAAGAGGGUGGCUCAUUCAUUCUGUCCUGGGCCAUUCUGAAACUGCCAACA
rnacentral:sRNA from 1 species